AAAAGCUCAAAGGAAGUGGGAGGGAUACCUAGGGCUGAGAAAUAACAUUUACAAAAGCACUAGUGCCAAUGAUCAAAUGAAAAAAGUCAGAUAAAUAUUGUGCUUCUUCAUAGAUUGCAUGCCAUCCGUCAGAGCUUCUUCUUGGGGCCUUCUAAAGUAACUCUAUUCUUAUAAAAAAUUUUAGAAAAAAAAUAAUCCUCAAAUUAGAGCCAAUUUCACUAAGCAUCUCCUAAGUUUAAAAUAUUUCAAAGUGAUCCUCAAGUAGUGAAGUGAUUCAAUGUAGUUCUGUCGUCCAUCUUUAGUGACCUGAGCUCGUAGGAUUUUAUCACGUGAUGGUGACGUGAUACUUUUAGGACUUUAUACCCUUUUGAAAAGUGGUUUAAAUGAAUAGAAGGAAUGGAAAUGCGGGAUGAGGAUAGCCGAGGGGUUUAGAGAGGAGGAGGAGGUGUAGGAAGAGGAGAAGCUAAUGGAAGUGGAUUGGACUCAGGAUCAAGUUAGAUGGAGAGGAGGGAUGAGGACGACAGGGCUUAGAGAAGAGAAGGAGGAUGUGUUUGAAAGAGGGGGAGAUAAUUAGAGCAGAUAGGUCUCGAGACUAGGUUAAAAGGAGGGAGAGGAGGGAUGGAAAUGACAAUGAGGUUUAGAAAGGAAGAGGGCAAGUUAGAAGAGGAGGAGGUGGUGGAGUGGAUGGGGCUCAGGUAGGACCAAGUUUGAUAGAGUGGAGGGAUGAAGAAGAGGGAUGAGAAUGGAGAUGAGGUUUAGAUAGGAAGAGUAGGAGGUGUUGGAAGAGAAGGAGAUGGUGGGAAUGAGGAUGGAUAAGAAAAGGAGAAGAAGAGUGAGCAUUUUUUUGAUAAAUAAGCAAUUCUGGUGGGGGUAAAAUUGAUUUUUAUGAUGACAUUCUAACGAUAUAGAUACUAGAUGUAGCUUGGGAUCACAUUGAACCACUUAACUAACUUUAGGGAUCACUUUGAAACUUUUAACUCGAGAGAUACUAAGUGAAACUGACACUAAGUUCAGGUGGUGUCUUGGCCAUUGGAUCCUCC
rnacentral:lncRNA from 1 species